UUUAUUUCUGCAAAAAAAAAUAUUCUGUCUGAAUCUUAACCGACCACUUUCUGACAUCCGUGUGUAGACGGUGACCCGAAAAAAUACUUGGCCUACUACAGAAGAGCCACCGUCUACCUGGCCACGGACAAGUCUAAAUCCGCUUUACCGGAUCUAAGCAAAGUCAUCGAGUGUCAUGAUUCCCCCUUGAAGCAGCGUGAUCUAAGCGCGAAUGCGCGAGCACCUGCUUUUCCAUUGUUGACAGUAGUGACAUCUGGACACGUGUGUUUUGUUUAUGUUUCUGUCAUGUCUCCUCCCUGUUCUGUCAUUGGCUGGGAUUUCACGUGUGUCUGUAUUGCCCUCAGCAAGUUUAGAGGCUGAUCAGUUUAGACGCUGAUCAUGUCCACAUAUAUACCGCGCGCCUCCCAGCACACAACGCGGAAGAUUAUCGUAGAGUUAGAUUGGUUCGUAUGGUACUCAUAGUCACGGUCCAUGUUUAGAGUUCGUUCACGCUGGAUUAUCCGCUCCCAGUUCCUCGUCAUAGUUGAUGUUUCUCGUUUAGUUUAUCGACCCUGUUUUCCGUGACACGACCUUGAUUCAUGUUUAACCCUGUGUAUGCCUGUUUGCCGAUCGCCUGACCUUCGCCUGUUUUGGAUUAUGUUUUGGAUUUGUCUGCCUGUCUCUCUUUUAAAAUAAACAACUGUUCAUACUGCAAUUGCAUCCGUCCUAUCUCCGCUCCGUCACGAUACGUGACAUCGAGUUAAACCUGAUUUCACAUCGGAUAGCCCAGAAGAAGCUCAUUAAAGCCUACUGGAAGUUGUCACAGCAGUGACACCCAGACAACUUCCAGGAUCCUGAAGAGAAGAACAAGGCUGAGAAGAAGUUCAUAGACAUCGCACAGGCCAAGGAAGUGCUCACUGAGCCAGAAACGAGGAGUUCAUUUGACAAGGGUGAAGACCCCCUGGACCCUGAGAGCAAGCACGGAGAAGGCCAUCACCACUUCCAUGGGGCCUGGGAGAGUUUCCAGGGCUUUAACCCUUUUGGCUCUGGACUGUUCAACUUUAAAUUCAACUUUAACUGAGAUCAUCCAGGACGACAUCAGUCUGAUCUGAAUAUAUACCAUCAGGCAUCCAGCGAGAAGUGUAACCUGCUGAACCUAUUUGACACUAACUGCCAUAGAUGUGGCUACAGAAGCCACUGUGGCAUGAAGAUUCAUCGCAUGCUGUUGAAUAUUCUCAGACUUGCCAAGCUGAGCACUUACAGACAUCGUCACAAAGCAUCUGGACUGACAGAUGUAGAUUUAGAUCCCUAUCGAGCAAGCUGGAGGUGAAAAACUCCCCGAGACAUCAUGAAGAAGAAACCUAAGAGAGGAAGCAAACUCAAAAGGGUCCUGUUGACACUGGAUAGUGGGAUUACAAAUCAUUACCAGUAUGCAGAUGUAAUAGAGGAAAAGGCAAACAAAUGUGUUCGUGUCUACAUCCUAGGAUGAGUACAGCAGCAGUUUUUAGCAAGCACAAAUCUGCACUAUCAAGUGUUUUCUGGUUUCUAGCUUAUUGUGAAAUCAGACUACUAAUUAUACCUUGCUUUUGAAGCUAGCCCUUUGUGCACAAAAAUGUAAAAAAUAAAGAGUAGGUAGAACAGGUAGAAUCACUAUCAUCAGGGAGAGCAGAUUAAUAUCUGUACACAUUGAUGCAGUAACAUAACUCCAGACAUGGCAGACGACCACUGAUGAAUGAUAAACAUUUUAUUCCUGAGAAAAUUCCCAUCCUUCCACUUCCAAGCUUAAAAAGAGGAAGAAAAAAAGAAGAAGAAAAAACCCAGGUCAGCAUGGAGUGCCACAAACACAGCAUGGCUUUUUCACUUUAAAGGGCUUGAAAUCAAAUGGAAACACAGGAAUAAUUCAUAAUGUGGAUAAAUAAAUUGAACAUCUUGUGCAUGUGUUGGGGUUACUUUUACACAUGUUCCCCCACUCUGACAUCCUCUCUGAUUUGUUCAAUCAUAUUGUAAUGAUUUUCCAUUUCCUCUUCACUGUAAUGGAGGAAUAACAAGUUACACAUGAUACAAAAAUCAUGUACAGCUU